GCUGGGCGGAUUAGUGGCGAACGGGUGAGUAAUACGUGAGUAACCUGCCCUUGACUCUGGGAUAAGCCUGGGAAACUGGGUCUAAUACUGGAUACUACCUCCUGCCGCAUGGUGGGUGGUGGAAAGGGUUUUACUGGUUUUGGAUGGGCUCACGGCCUAUCAGCUUGUUGGUGGGGUAAUGGCUCACCAAGGCGACGACGGGUAGCCGGCCUGAGAGGGUGACCGGCCACACUGGGACUGAGACACGGCCCAGACUCCUACGGGAGGCAGCAGUGGGGAAUAUUGCACAAUGGGCGGAAGCCUGAUGCAGCGACGCCGCGUGAGGGAUGACGGCCUUCGGGUUGUAAACCUCUUUCAGUAGGGAAGAAGCGAAAGUGACGGUACCUGCAGAAGAAGCGCCGGCUAACUACGUGCCAGCAGCCGCGGUAAUACGUAGGGCGCAAGCGUUGUCCGGAAUUAUUGGGCGUAAAGAGCUCGUAGGCGGUUUGUCGCGUCUGCUGUGAAAGCCCGGGGCUCAACCCCGGGUCUGCAGUGGGUACGGGCAGACUAGAGUGCAGUAGGGGAGACUGGAAUUCCUGGUGUAGCGG
rnacentral:rRNA from 1 species